AGUGAACGCUGGCGGUAGGCCUAACACAUGCCAGUCGAACGGCAGCACAGUAAGAGCUUGCUCUUACGGGUGGCGAGUGGCGGACGGGUGAGGAAUACAUCGGAAUCUACUUUUUCGUGGGGGAUAACGUAGGGAAACUUACGCUAAUACCGCAUACGACCUACGGGUGAAAGCAGGGGAUCUUCGGACCUUGCGCGAUUGAAUGAGCCGAUGUCGGAUUAGCUAGUUGGCGGGGUAAAGGCCCACCAAGGCGACGAUCUGUAGCUGGUCUGAGAGGAUGAUCAGCCACACUGGAACUGAGACACGGUCCAGACUCCUACGGGAGGCAGCAGUGGGGAAUAUUGGACAAUGGGCGCAAGCCUGAUCCAGCCAUACCGCGUGGGUGAAGAAGGCCUUCGGGUUGUAAAGCCCUUUUGUUGGGAAAGAAAAGCAGCAGGUUAAUACCCCGCUGUUCUGACGGUACCCAAAGAAUAAGCACCGGCUAACUUCGUG
rnacentral:rRNA from 1 species